rnacentral:tRNA from 1 species
GUCCCUGUAGCGCAAUGGAUAGUGCGUUGUACUUUUAAUUCAAAGGUCGUGGGUUCGAAUCCCUCCUGGGAUG